UACGGAGGAUGCAAGCGUUAUCCGGAAUCAUUGGGUUUAAAGGGUCCGUAGGCGGCCUGAUAAGUCAGUGGUGAAAUCUCCUAGCUCAACUAGGAAACUGCCAUUGAUACUGUCGGGCUUGAAUUGUGGUGAAGUAACUAGAAUAUGUAGUGUAGCGGUGAAAUGCUUAGAUAUUACAUGGAAUACCAAUUGCGAAGGCAGGUUACUAACCAUUGAUUGACGCUGAUGGACGAAAGCGUGGGGAGCGAAC
rnacentral:rRNA from 1 species